CUGGUGACACCAAAGCCCACGAAUUUACCCAGGGAGCAGCAAAAAAUGUGACUCCUCAAGGAGGUGUUUUUACAGAGAGUGGCAGAAAAGGACGACAAUCUUUCUGGCAACUGCACUUUCUCCUUCACAGGACUGGCAUUGUAAUUCAACUCCGCACUACGGAAAGUUAAUGAUUUACCACUCCUCACAACCUACACAAACUGACACCAGAGAUUUGUGAGCAAUUAAUUGGUAGCACAUUACAAUCUGAGGAGUUCUGCCCUAAUCUCUGCAUGAAAACUGAGCAAAAUUUAUUGCUUAAAUAUCCCCUCACCAGAGCUUCUGCCUUGGUGGUCAAACUUGCCAUGGGGUUGUGAAGAGAACUAUAAAAAACAGUGGAUUUUCCCACAAAGCAGACAGUGGAUGGGGAAUGCUAUCUUCUUCCUGAAG